rnacentral:rRNA from 1 species
UACGGAGGAUGCAAGCGUUAUCCGGAAUGAUUGGGCGUAAAGCGUCCGCAGGUGGCAAUGUAAGUCUGCUGUCAAAGCGUCUGGCUCAACCAGAUAAAGGCAGUGGAAACUACAUAGCUAGAGUAAGGUAGGGGUAGAGGGAAUUCCUGGUGUAGCGGUGAAAUGCGUAGAUAUCCGGAGGAACACCGGUGGCGAAGGCGGCUUCCUGGACCGACACUGACGCUGAGGCGCGAAAGCCAGGGGAGCAAACGGG